rnacentral:rRNA from 1 species
UGGAGAGUUUGAUCCUGGCUCAGGACGAACGCUGGCGGCGUGCUUAACACAUGCAAGUCGAACGGAAAGGCCCUUUCGGGGGUACUCGAGUGGCGAACGGGUGAGUAACACGUGGGUGAUCUGCCCUGCACUUUGGGAUAAGCCUGGGAAACUGGGUCUAAUACCGGAUAGGACUACGCACUGCAUGGUGUGUGGUGGAAAGCUUUUGCGGUGUGGGAUGGGCCCGCGGCCUAUCAGCUUGUUGGUGGGGUGAUGGCCUACCAAGGCGACGACGGGUAGCCGGCCUGAGAGGGUGUCCGGCCACACUGGGACUGAGAUACGGCCCAGACUCCUACGGGAGGCAGCAGUGGGGAAUAUUGCACAAUGGGCGCAAGCCUGAUGCAGCGACGCCGCGUGGGGGAUGACGGCCUUCGGGUUGUAAACCUCUUUCAGUAUCGGCGAAGCUCCCGCAUUUUUGUGGGGGUGACGGUAGGUACAGGAGAGAAGCACCGGCCAACUACGUGCCAGCAGCCGCGGUA